GGGGAUGUAGCUCAGUGGUAGAGCGCAUGCUUUGCAUGUAUGAGGCCCCGGGUUCGAGGCCCCGGGUUCAAUCCCCGACAUCUCCA